rnacentral:lncRNA from 1 species
GUUCCCGGCCCUGUCUGGUGCAUUCCCCCUGCUGCUGCCCGGUCGGCCGAGAAAGUUCCGGGCGACAGGUGGCCCGAGGCCCUCGAGCUGCGCGGACAGAGCGGCCCCGGAGUCGCGAGCGUGACGGGCUUGCUUGGAGGGCACUUGGUGGCCGGUAGCACCAUAAAGGCCAUAAUUUGGUGUGUGGGUGUGGGGGUGUGUGUGUUAACGGCAUUGGUUUGAUUCACACUUCUGAUGAAAGAAGCCUGUUUAAAAAAGAAAAGAAAAAAGAAGCCUGUUUAAAGGGUGCAGGGUGUUACGAUUGUUAACGUGCAGUGGGCAGUUCACCUGCUACGCUAUCCAACAGGCGCCCUGCUCAGGCCCGACCUCGCACUGCCGCGCGGGCCGGUCCCCCCCGGCCCGGGUAACUGGGACGUCCUGGGAAAAUAAAUUAAUCACGUACGGAGUGAGAGAACAGGAAACCUGCCGAGAAAAAGAUCGAUAAGCAGACAAUUACACCAAGCCAACUUCAGUGCAAUCGUUAAAGCUUACACAUGGGUGCACGCUUGGGAGCCGUGAGCUACCAUGUUAAAAGGCCAACUUCCUAAGGAAAAAUGAUGGAAAGAGAUCCCGAGAUCCUAUGAAAUGGAAGAGGGAGGACAACCCAGCUAUCCCAACAUCCCAGCUGAGGCCAGCCACACACGUGACUGUCUGCAAAGCCCGUCGGGCCUGGGUCCAGCUCAGGUUGCAGAAUUGUUGGCAAGUAAAACGUUUGUUGUCGUUCUGACUCAAAAACAUGGAGACAAAGCAGACUUGUAGGGUAUUACAGUCAACAACUAGACCCUACAGCUAAAGGACUGUCUCCUUGCAUGAUGCAACAACCAUCACAGCUCUGCAAGAGCAACCAAACCACCAAGGAUGCGAUCACCCCUCACUGCCUUCGAUACGCAUUCUGUGGAAACGCUUCUAAACUUGCAUCACACUCAACACGAUCAGUUAGUAACUGGCUUCUCAUGAAGUUAUUCUCUCAGCCGCAUACUACAAUGUCCAGAUGUCAUCUAAAUCCUGCCACCCUCUCCCCCACCUUCAGCUGAAACGCUGCAUGACUGCAUCAUCUUACCUGACCAGCUCUCUCCUAGGACAGACAUGCAAGAACCCCCCUCACUAACGCUGAUGUUAUUUGGUUUACAGAUGGCUCUUACUUAAAGAUGCAGCUGGAAGAUGGAGUCUCGCUCUGUUGCCCAGGCUGGAGUGCAAUGGCGUGAACUCCACCUCCUGGGUUCACGCAAUUCUCCUGCCUCAGCCUCUUGACUAGCUGGGACUACAGGCACCCGCCACCAUGCCGGGCUAAUUUUUUGUAUUUUUAGUAGAGACGGGGUUACACUCUGUUAGCCAGAAUGGUCUCGAUCUCCUGACCUCGUGAUGUGCCCGCCUCGGCCUCCCAAAGUGCUGGGAUUACAGGCGUGAGCCACCGCGCCCGGUCCAGCCAUCUUUCUUAACGUGCAUACACGAUGUGACUCACUGGAGCCCUGAUAAGAUUAUUGAUUUCUUGAGGAGAACAAUGUUGUCGGAAACCUUCUCCAACUGUUGCUCACGGGUAUACAGUCAGGGCUGUCUUCCCAGAAUAUAAUGCAAGGAAACCUUGACCCAGUUCUCCAUGUCAUUUUCCUUUACCAGAAGGCCCUUUCGAGGUAUGGCAACUAGAUUUUUUCAGCUACCACCAUCACAAAGAUACAGGCACAUCCUAGUGAUGGUUUGUGUAUUUUCUCAUGGGUAGAAGCAUUUCCAUGCAGAAGAGCAGCAGCCUUGGCGGUAAGUAAAAUUAUCUUAGAGAAAAUUAUUCCGAUUUGGGGAGUUCCUCAAGAACUUUAUAGCAACAGAGGCACUCAUUUCACUGCACAAAUAAUCCAGUUAGUAUGCAAAAUCUGGCCCAUUUUCCAGCAUUUCCAUUGUGCCUAUCACCCCAGUCAUCUGGGUUAGUAGAAUGCACAAGCAGAAUAAUCAAAACUCAUUUGGCAAAAUUAACUGAAGUUUUAAAACUCCCUUGACUGGAAGCUCUUUCUUGUUUUUGCUUCACCUAAGAUCAGCCCUUAUGGGUAAACACCAACUGUCUUCAUCUGAAAUUAUAACGGACAGACCUAUGAAAUUGUCUCCAGGAAAUUGUAAAUCGAUGAUAUUAAAAAGGGACAGGUUGUAUUAUUGCAGCAGCCUCAUAAGGCACCUAAGUAAAAACUGUUAUUUAGUAAAAGAUUCUUUCCACAGUGAGCUCCAAGAAGCAAAAACUCAAGGAACACAUACUUCAGCCAGGAGACUUUGUAGGAAACAGCAUCCUUUAAAGGACUUUCUCCACCAAGGAGGAAGGAACCUUAUCAGGGACUCCUAACCAACCCUUGUGCCACUAAGCUUAAAGGAGUUGAUUCCUGGAUACCUGCCACCCAUGCAAGGAAAGCUGCUUUGUCAAUUUGGACUUCAUCUCAAAUUGGUGAUCUAAAACUAAAACUCUCCAGAACCAACAAGGAUGAGAAGAAAACAACAUGUGAGGCGAUCAGCCUUCUCAAGACACCUGACCAGGCCUGUAUCUAGACAAACCCUUAAUAUAAUCAUCGUCAGUAGAUGAGGAAGGUCUUCCUUUACAAGUUCCCACCACACUUCCUUCUUUUUGUCCCUAGUUCUUCUGUUUUGUUGCUACCAUCACCAGCCAUUGCCCAUGAAACAAACAUCUUCUUGCAGUAGGCUUGGGCCUGUGCUAGUAAAUUACAGGACAACACUCGUUAGGUGUGUGGCCUUGCGCCCCUUUCUGGUGGUUCUGGCCUACCAUGGUGGCAGCUCCUCUUCAAGGACAAGAGUAGACAGAAUAUCAGAAAUGUGUCUGUGUUUCUCAGGACAGUCAUUGGUGCUUAGCACUAGUAUGAUGAAGGCAAGUGUGCAUCACUGGCCUAUGAAUGAUACUUUACAAAGCAAAAGCCAUAGGAAGAGCUUUCCAGUAAAAGUCCACAUACCUUAAUGCUGGUACUACACCAGCUGAGAGAUUAGACCACUCAAUAUCGGGAUGGCAUAACACAAACUUGGGAUGGUUUCACCUGACUUACCCUCUCUUUGGGUCAACUUAGUUCACGUGCCCCUUUACAUUGGGAACAAAAGAAUCAUAUCAAAGAUCCCUGGCCCAGGAGCACUGGAGAUACGGGAUGGAACCCAGAGAACAGUGCAUCUACACCAUUGUGUUACAGAGUCCUGGCUGGCAUGCCACUGAGUGGGCAUAGUGACCGGGUGUUUACUGGUUGGCUCCAGAUGGAACAUCUGGACUCUGUGAUAAUGACCUAUGGCCAUGGUUACCCCCAAGGUGGCCAGGACACCAUUCUCUGCAUUAUGCCUGGACAUAGGAUGGAAUAGUUCACAACCGACAUAGAUAGUAGAUAAAACUAGGUAGUCUGAAUAAUUCAAAGUAUGGACUUUGAUUCAUAAUGCUUCAAUACUGGUUCUUAAAUGUAACAAACAACACACUUUUAAUCUGUGCAUUGUGAGGUGCUGAGCGAGAGGGGCCGGCUGCCAGGUGCCGGGUGGUGGGUGGGUCAAAGGCCAAACGCAGGUUCCACCAGGCAGGUGUCACUCCCGGCAGGAGUAGAAACCAGAGGCCUCACUGAGAGUGCCAGCCCCCACCCUGGUGUUUCAUUUUCCCCCACGGCACUGGGUGAAGGUUAGGUGUGUCUGUGAAGACAGCAGUGAAGGGAUACUGUCUCACUGCCCAGAGAGCCCCUAACAAAAGGUUUCUGCCAUUCUAUGGCCCUGGAGUCAGGGGAAGAGAGAGAGGGAGGCAGCUGAGAGUGGAAAAGUGCUGAAUGCAAAGUCAGAGUGGGAAAAAUGUCUUCCAGGCCCCCUGAAAAGGAGGCUUUGGCAGAGGUACCUAAGACAGGCCUCAGCCAAGGGACCCAUGUGGUCUCGGAAGGGAGGUGCCUGGGUUGGGCACAGGGGAUACCCAGGGCACCCAGGUCCUUCCCCGCAACAGCCUUCAGACACGGCAGUGCACUGGCCACACACCAUGAGGCAGCCAGGUGGGGCCUUUGUCAUCACCCGUGGUCAGACCUGAAAGAUCCCACAGGGCAUUUGGGCUGCAGCCAGCCAACUUUCCAGGCAGCAUGUUGCAUUCCAACUCUGUUUCAAUAAAACUAGUUUCGAAAAAGAAAGAAACAUUUCAAAAUAUUGACGGGAUGCUGCUAAGUUUUGAUCGUUGCAUUAGAAAGAAAGAGAUUAAAGGAAUAGUUUAAGCUUCCGCACCAGGAAUCUAGAAAAGGAAAACCAAAUCAAGCUCAAACUAAGUAGAAGGAAGGGGAGUGAGAUCAGAAUGGAUGCUGGGCGCGGUAGCUCACACCUGUAAUCCCAGCACUUUGGGAGGCCAAAGUGGGUGGAUCACCUGAGGUCAGGAGUUUGUAACAAGGCUGGCCAACAUGGUAAAACCCCAUCUCUACAAAAAUACAAAAAUUAGCUGGGCGUAGUUGUACGCACCUGUAAUCCCAGCUGCUCAGGUGGCUGAGGCAAGAGAAUCACUUGAACCCAGGAAGCAGAGGUUGCAGUGAGCCACGAUGACACCACUGCUCUCCAGCCUGGGGGACAGAGAGAGAGACUUUAUCUAAAUUCCAAAACUUUGGGAGGCCAAGGGCAGAUCACCUGAGGUCAGGAGUUUGAGACCAGCCUAUCCAACAUGGUGAAACUCCAUCUCUACUAAAAACACAAAAAUUAGCCAGGCAUGCUGCCGCGUGCCUGCAAUCCCAGCUACUCGGGAAGCUGAGACAGAAGAAUCCUUUGAAACUAGUAGGCGGAGAUUGCAGUGAGCUGACACCAUGCCACUGCACUCCAGCCUGGGUGACAGAGCAAGACUCCAUCUCAAAAAAAAGAAAAAAAAAGAUCCGAAUGGCAAACAGUGACCUAGAAAACAGUAAGACAAAUACGGAAAACAGAAGAAACUAAAAGAAGUUGAUUCUAGGAAAACAAACUGAUCAGAUUUGCUAGACUGGACAAGCCAAAAGGAAAAGAAAAAAACAGAAAUAUGCCAAAUCAGGAAUAAAAGAAAUAACAUACAAGGGUCCAUGGUGAAACUAAAAAUAUCACAAAGAAAUUUUAAAAUGUUUAAAAAAAUAGAUAAUUUAGAUAAAAUGGACAAAUUCCUAAAGAGACAUAAAUUAUGAGCACUGACCAACAAUGAAUAGAAAAUUUGAACAGAUGUAUAAGUAACCAAGUUGAAUUAUAGUUAACUACAUGCCCACAAAGAAAAGAUCUGAGCCAAAUGGCUUCAUUGGUGAAUUUUCUCAAAUGCUUAAGAAACAAAUGAUAUCAAUCUUACAGGAAAUAGAGACAAAAUAACACUUCCCAAAUAUUUUACAAGGCCAGUAUUAACCUGAUACCAAAGCCAGGCAAACACAUCAUAAGAAAACUAUAAAAUGAGAAAGGUACAACUUUUUAACAAAGUGAUUGCAGAUUAAAUCCAGCAACAUGACCAAGUGGGGUUUAUCUGAGGAAUGCAAGGUUGGGCUAACAUCUGAAAGCCAAUUAAUGUCAUAACUCCUCAAUAGAAUAAAAGAAAAAAUCCAUAUGACCUUCUAAUAGCCACAGAAAAAGCAUUUGACAAAACCAACCCUUUCAUAAUAAAAACUCCCAACCUAAGACUACAAAGAAACUUUCACAACCUGAUAAAGGUCAUCUAUAAAAUAAACCUGCAGCUAUCUAAGUUUCAGAGAAUCAUCUUUUUGUCUUAUUUGUUUCCUCUGUUAUGUCUCUGCUUUUAUUUCAUUAAUCUCUUCAUUAUCUCCUUCAUUCUGUUUGCUUUGGGUUUAUUUGCUCUUCUAUUUCUAGAUUCUUGAGGUGAACACUUAGGUUAUUGUUUGAGACUUUUCCUCUUUUCUAAUGUAAACAUUUAGUGCUAUAAAUUUCUGUCUAAGCACUGCUUUGCUGAGCUUUUGAAUUUUGAUAUGUUGUAUUUUCAUGUUUAUUCUGUUGAGUGUACUUUUACGUAUUUCUCUUGAUCCUUAUUCUUUGACCCAUGGAUAAUGAAAAGUGUGUUAUUUCUUUUUCAUGUGUUUGGAGAUUUUCCUGUUAUUUUGUUGUUGAUUUCUAGUGGGGGUAAGAGAAGACAGACUAAGAUUUUAAUUCUUUUAAAUAUGUUGAGGUUUGUUUGAUAGUCAGAAGUGGUAUAUCUUUUUAUAUGUUUUGUGGGCACCUGAAAAGAAUAUAUAUUCUGCUGUUGUUGAUCGCCAUGUUCUCCAAAUACCCAUUAGAUCCAGUUGAUUGUUCAUAAGUUGUUCUCUGUCCUUGUGAAUUUUCUGUUUAGUUGUUCUAUCAAUUGGCGGGAAAGGAGAGUAGGGUCUCUAACAAUAAUUGUGGAUUGCUGUUUCUCUUUUGAGCUCUAUCAAUUAAUACAUUUUUUU